CACUGCAUUCUAUGGGUCUGGUAAACAUCUGCCAUCUCCACCCCAUGGGAGCUUCUUAAGGGAAAGCACUGAGCUUCCUUUGUUCAUUCACUCCCUCAGUCGAUCAGCUGGUCAGUCGGUCAGUCACCAAUAACUUUGUUUUUUUUAACAAAUAUGCCUGAGUACCCACUGUGUACUGGGCAGAUACAGCUGAACAAUCCUCUAGGAACUCACAGGUUUAUAAGAGAAGCAGGAAAAAGUGGAGGAAGUGGAAGGAAGCCAAAGCAUCCCUCCUUUCACUUUCACUGACCACUGAGUGGGUCUCGCUGGGUCUCAGUGAAAAGAAAGCUGUUUCUACUGCUUUAACCCUUUCCAAUGCAUGUCCCUUUAGACAGAGUAACCCCUGUGAGCUGGUAAUCAAACAGAAUUUUAUUCAAGUGAAACAAACAAUGGAGAAAUAUGGAGUACCCCAAAUUUCCUCCCUUUAAUUUGCACAUUUUGAAGUGCAGAUAUUAGUAAGUAGUUUAUUUACAUGAACAUACAGGAACUUUAACCUUUAAGAGUUUGUAAAAUACGGCUUAGUUUAAAUGCAUUUAUUUGUCUAAAAUUCCUGGUAGUUAAUUGUACUUUUUUUUUUGGCAAGUUUUCACUUGAAAUCUCAAAGUACUUUAAAGUAAGAUGGCAUUAAAAACAGCAACAGGAAUAAGCCGACGUGUCUUAAGGGCUUACCAUGUUUAGACACUAAGUGCUGUUAACAUAUAUCACUAUUUACUCCUUGAACUCGUCCUAUUUGUUAUUAUAUACACACCAUAUACUGUAUUAUUAUUAUUGUCUCAGCUUCACCGAUAAGGAACCCUAGCUUGGUGAGUUCUGAAUUGCUGGCAGAUUAGGGAGGAAUGGACAGUGGAACCCAGCCCUGGCUGUGCCCAGACCCCCUCUCCUCUGCAACACUGUCUGCCUCUGAGGCGCGUGGAGUCCUUCUCCAGCUCUUCAAAGCGUUGCAGGUCCAUGUUGUCCCAACAGAAUUUAAAGGUGCAGGCCAGCAUCACCUGCAAAGUCCCAGGUUGGAAGAGAACCUCGUCUACACUUCUACAGGCAGAUAAGGUCAGAAGUACAUUUUCCAGUCNNNNNNNNNNNNNNNNNNNNNNNNNNNNNNNNNNNNNNNNNNNNNNNNNNNNNNNNNNNNNNNNNNUAACUUCACAUUGAUGGCAAGGCCCUCGGCAAUGCCCCCUGGCAUUUUUCAAAGUUUUCUGCACACAGAAGUCUUAUUCCUUUUUAUUAACCAACUGAUAUAUUCCUCCCUCCUUCCCGACCCCACACGCAGUAUGUUAAACCUCACCUCACGGAGCUCCUGGCCUUGGCAUCCGCGUGGACCUGCACAGAGGGUCCUGCCAGGCGGUGAAUUUGUACUGGUUUUCCUAAUGAGGGCAUUAUUUGCUUUUUAGCCUGCCCCCUUGUUUAUAAAAUAUGCCAAGAGAACUAAACA
rnacentral:lncRNA from 1 species